ensembl:lncRNA
CUCUCUCUUUCUCUCGCACGCUCUCUCUCUCUCUUUCUCUCUCUCUCUCUUUCUCCUCUCUCUCUCUCUCUCUCUCUCUCUCUCUCUCUCUCUCUCUCUCUCUCUCUCUCUCUCUCUCUCUAUGGAGUGGCACUGCGACACAGAGUGAUUGAACCUUUAGAUAUUGAGGCAGGCGGAGAUCAAAAACGUCCUGUAGUUAUUGAUUUGUAGGGACGGAGAGGUGCCUGAGGAAUGAUUUGUAGGGAGGGAGAGGUGCCUGAGGAAUGAUUUGUAGGGAAGGAGAGGUGCCUGAGGAAUGAUUUGUAGGGACGGAGAGGUGCCUGAGGAAUGAUUUGU